AACAUCGCCUCUUGAAUUUCUAUAAGAGGUCCAGCCUGCCCAGUGACUUUGUUCAACGGCCGCGGUAUCCUAACCGUGCGAAGGUAGCGUAAUCACUUGUCUUUUAAAUGGGGACUUGUAUGAAUGGCAUCACGAGGGUUAUACUGUCUCCUUUUUCUAAUCAGUGAAACUAAUCUUCCCGUGAAGAAGCGGGGAUGAUACUAUAAGACGAGAAGACCCUAUGGAGCUUUAAACUUAAUAACAAAUACUAACCCCAUUCUAACUUUCAGAACAUUAAUUUCAACUCUAGUACCAUGAUUAUUAGUUUUAGGUUGGGGUGACCGCGGAGUAAAAAUUAACCUCCACAUUGAACAGGACCUAUCCUUGAGCCAAGAGCUACAACCCUAAGCACCAAUAAAUUGACAUUAAUUGACCCAAUAUUUUGAUCAACGAACCAAGUUACCCUAGGGAUAACAGCGCAAUCCACUUCAAGAGCUCCUAUCGACAAGUGGGUUUACGACCUCGAUGUUGGAUCAGGGUAUCCCAGUGGUGCAGCCGCUACUAAAGGUUCGUUUGUUCAACGAUUAAAACCCUACGUGAU
rnacentral:rRNA from 1 species